AACCGGAGGAAGGUGGGGAUGACGUCAAGUCCUCAUGGCCCUUAUAGGUGGGGCUACACACGUCAUACAAUGGCUGGUACAAAGGGUUGCCAACCCGCGAGGGGAGCCAAUCCCAUAAAGCCAGUCGUAGUCCGGAUCGUAGUCUGCAACUCGACUACGUGAAGUCGGAAUCGCUAGUAAUCGUGGAUCAGAAUGUCACGGUGAAUACGUUCCCGGGUCUU
rnacentral:rRNA from 1 species